CACGUACUCCCUCCAUCCGAAAAUACUUGUCAUCAAAAUGGAAAAAAAGGAUGUAUCUAAAACUAAAAUACAUCCCCUUUUAUUCAUUUUGAUGACAAGUAUUUCUGGACGGAGGGAGUACAUG
rfam:Triticum aestivum genome assembly, contig: Triticum_aestivum_CS42_TGACv1_scaffold_408746_5BL